CUCUAGCCAGUAUAUAAGAGGGAUCCCUUGAGAUGAAAAUGUAUUCAAUUUCGUUUUGAAACAUACAAACAAAGUAAGAAUGAAAGCUGUCUUUUUGAUAACAUUUGUGUUGGCACUCUUCGCCUUGGCUGCUUCUAAUCCAGCGCCAAAACCCAACCCAAUGCCGAAUCCUCAAUACUGGAACUAUGGCUACGGAAUGCCGAUGCCCUACUACGGAAUGGGUUACGGAUACUACUACUGAGUCAAAAAUAUGUUAUGUUCCGUGCGAAUGUAACGUUGUGAAAUAAAGGCAUUGCAACAAU